GACGGAGGGGGCAAGCGUUGUCCGGAAUCACUGGGCGUAAAGCGCGUGUAGGUGGUUGGCUGCGUCGGCGCUGAAACCUCUGGGCUUAACCCAGAGACGCGUGCCGAUACGAGCCGACUUGAGGCAGGGAGAGGGUGGCGGAAUUCCGGGUGUAGUGGUGAAAUGCGCAGAUAUCGGGAAGAACACCCGUGGCUAAGGCGGCUCUCUAGUACGGUACUGACGCUGAGACGCGAAAGCGUGGGGAGCGAACAGG
rnacentral:rRNA from 1 species